rnacentral:rRNA from 1 species
GACGAACCGUGCAAACGUUGUUCGGAAUCACUGGGCUUAAAGGGCGCGUAGGCGGUCGACCAAGUCCGGGGUGAAAUCUUUCGGCUUAACCGGGAAAGUGCCUUGGAUACUGGUCGGCUGGAGGGAGGUAGGGGCAGGUGGAACUUCCAGUGGAGCGGUGAAAUGCGUAGAUAUUGGGAGGAACACCAGUGGCGAAGGCGGCUCACUGGCCCGGUACUGACGCUGAGGUGCGAAAGCGUGGGGAACAAACAGG